rnacentral:sRNA from 1 species
GUCUACCAUUUAAUUACAAGAUGGCACAUCCUUUCUGCGCCUUUUUCUUCUUCUUCUUUUGCUUUGGAGGCUGGAGAACCACCUUAAUCGCAGCAUCGAAAACUGCCUUGAUUACUUGCUGUGUUUUUGAACUGCAUUCAAUGUAUGCCGCUGCACCAAUGACAAACUAAGCUUUGAAUACCUGAGCAGUGGAAAUAGGUACAGCACCAGGGUGAUCUACGAAAAAUUGCUUAUCAUCCCGCAGAUCUAUUAACACUUUGUUCCAACGAGAAUUAUUGGCACACCAGGAGCAUAAUGCCUUAAUUCAGGUAUCCACUGACAACAGAAAUAUAUAUCUUGCUUUGCUGAUCAGAGAAAAGGCCAGCAGGAAAACAUCAGCGCCACGAUAGCUCAACGGGCGUAGCCUAUUGUAGUCCUCUUGUCCUG